rnacentral:lncRNA from 1 species
UAUAAAUGUCCUCCCAUCUCUCAUAUCAGACGUGAUAUAAAUGUCCUCCCAUCUCUCAUAUCAGACGUGAUAUAAAUGUCCUCCCAUCUCUCAUAUCAGACGUGUUAUAAAUGUCCUCCCAUCUCUCAUAUCAGACGUGGUAUGAAUGUCCUCCCAUCUCUCAUAUCAGACGUGGUAUGAAUGUCCUCCCAUCUCUCAUAUCAGGCGUGUUAUAAAUGUCCUCCCAUCUCUCAUAUCAGACGUGAUAUAAAUGUCCUCCCAUCUCUCAUAUCAGACGUGUUAUAAAUGUCCUCCCAUCUCUCAUAUCAGACGUGUUAUAAAUGUCCUCCCAUCUCUCAUAUCAGACGUGUUAUAAAUGUCCUCUCAUCUCUCAUAUCAGACGUGUUAUAAAUGUCCUCCCAUCUCUCAUAUCAGACGUGUGUUAUAAAUGUCCUCCCAUCUCUCAUAUCAGACGUGUUAUAAAUGUCCUCCCAUCUCUCAUAUCAGACGUGAUAUAAAUGUCCUCCCAUCUCUCAUAUCAGACGUGUUAUAAAUGUCCUCCCAUCUCUCAUAUCAGACAUGUGUUAUAAAUGUCCUCCCAUCUCUCAUAUCAGACUUGUGUUAUAAAUGUCCUCCCAUCUCUCAUAUCAGACGUGUUAUAAAUGUCCUCCCAUCUCUCAUAUCAGACUUGUGUUAUAAAUGUCCUCCCAUCUCUCAUAUCAGACGUGAUAUAAAUGUCCUCCCAUCUCUCAUAUCAGACGUGUUAUAAAUGUCCUCCCAUCUCUCAUAUCAGACGUGUGUUAUAAAUGUCCUCCCAUCUCUCAUAUCAGACGUGUUAUAAAUGUCCUCCCAUCUCUCAUAUCAGACGUGUUAUAAAUGUCCUCCCAUCUCUCAUAUCAGACGUGAUAUAAAUGUCCUCCCAUCUCUCAUAUCAGACGUGUUAUAAAUGUCCUCCCAUCUCUCAUAUCAGACGUGUUAUAAAUGUCCUCCCAUCUCUCAUAUCAGACGUGUGAUAUAAAUGUCCUCCCAUCUCUCAUAUCAGACGUGUGAUAUAAAUGUCCUCCCCUCUCUCAUAUCAGACACGUGUUAUAAAUGUCCUCCCCUCUCUCAUAUCAGACACGUGUUAUAAAUGUCCUCCCAUCUCUCAUAUCAGACGUGUUAUAAAUGUCCUCCCAUCUCUCAUAUCAGACGUGUUAUAAAUGUCCUCCCAUCUCUCAUAUCAGAAAUGUGUUAUAAAUGUCCUCCC